GAUGAACGCUGGCGGCGUGCCUAAUACAUGCAAGUCGAGCGCAGGAAAUCGACGGAACCCUUCGGGGGGAAGUCGACGGAAUGAGCGGCGGACGGGUGAGUAACACGUAAAGAACCUGCCCUCAGGUCUGGGAUAACCACGAGAAAUCGGGGCUAAUACCGGAUGGGUCAUCGGACCGCACGGUCCGAGGAUGAAAGGCGCUUCGGCGUCGCCUGGGGAUGGCUUUGCGGUGCAUUAGCUAGUUGGUGGGGUAAUGGCCCACCAAGGCGACGAUGCAUAGCCGACCUGGGAGGGGGAUAGGCCACACUGGGACUGAGACACGGCCCAGACUCCUACGGGAGGCAGCAGUAGGGAAUCUUCCACAAUGGACGAAAGUCUGAUGGAGCAACGCCGCGUGAACGAUGAAGGCCUUCGGGUCGUAAAGUUCUGUUGUAAGGGAAGAACAAGUGCCGCAGGCAAUGGCGGCACCUUGACGGUACCUUGCGAGAAAGCCACGGCUAACUACGUGCCAGCCGCCGCCGUAA
rnacentral:rRNA from 1 species